CCCAUCGGCCAAUUUACCCAAAAUGCGUGCAAUCUCAUCAAAUCGUGGAAGCUAAGCAGGUUUGAGCCUGCUAAAUGCUUGGAUGGGUCACCACCAGGCCUUGCCAGCUGUUGUGGGC
rnacentral:rRNA from 1 species